rnacentral:tRNA from 15 species
GGCCGUUUAGUCUCAGUUGGUUAGAGCGUCCGGUUUACAUCCGGAAGGUCGCAGGUUCGAGCCCUGCAACGGCCAC